UACGUAGGGUGCGAGCGUUAAUCGGAAUUACUGGGCGUAAAGCGUGCGCAGGCGGCUUUGCAAGACAGAUGUGAAAUCCCCGGGCUCAACCUGGGAACUGCAUUUGACUGCAAGGCUAGAGUACGGCAGAGGGGGAUGGAAUUCCGCGUGUAGCAGUGAAAUGCGUAGAUAUGCGGAGGAACACCAAUGGCGAAGGCAAUCCCCUGGGCCUGUACUGACGCUCAUGCACGAAAGCGUGGGGAGCAAACAGG
rnacentral:rRNA from 1 species